CUUCUUGAUGUGGAACCCACCCUUGGCUGAAUGAUGAUGAGGCCUCGUGGGUUCCGAAG
rnacentral:ncRNA from 10 species